rnacentral:lncRNA from 1 species
GCCAAGCUUGAUACCUAAGGCGGCAACCGCUAAUGCAGAGGAUAAGUGCAUUUGGGCGUUGGCUCCAGUCAGUAGAUUUCCUUGACUGUCACGGGCUAGGGCUAUGCUUUGGAGGUUGAGACCUGGAAUGCCAUAUCACAGUUGAUCUUGAUGGCAUUCUGGGACCAAGGAGUCGAAGCUUGAGGUCUCUAAGAUGCGG